GUAAAUAUAGUUUAAUAAAAACAUUAGACUGUGAAUCUAACAAUAGAGAUACAAAUUCUUAUUUACC
rnacentral:tRNA from 1 species